GACGAACGCUGGCGGCGUGCUUAACACAUGCAAGUCGAGCGGUAAGGCCCUUUCGGGGGUACGCGAGCGGCGAACGGGUGAGUAACACGUGGGUGACCUGCCCUCAGCUCUGGGAUAAGCCUGGGAAACUGGGUCUAAUACUGGAUAUGACUCCACGGUGCAUGUCGUGGGGUGGAAAGCCUUGUGCGGCUGAGGAUGGGCCCGCGGCCUAUCAGCUUGUUGGUGGGGUGANGGCCUACCAAGGCGACGACGGGUAGCCGGCCUGAGAGGGCGACCGGCCACACUGGGACUGAGACACGGCCCAGACUCCUACGGGAGGCAGCAGUGGGGAAUCUUGCGCAAUGGGCGAAAGCCUGACGCAGCGACGCCGCGUGAGGGAUGACGGCCU
rnacentral:rRNA from 1 species